rnacentral:rRNA from 1 species
GACGAACGCUGGCGGCGUGCUUAACACAUGCAAGUCGAACGGAAAGGCCCUGCGUUUGUGCGGUGCUCGAGUGGCGAACGGGUGAGUAACACGUGAGUAACCUGCCCUUGACUUUGGGAUAACUUCAGGAAACUGGGGCUAAUACCGGAUAGGAGCUCCUGCUGCAUGGUGGGGGGUGGAAAGUUUCGGCGGUUGCGGAUGGACUCGCGGCUUAUCAGCUUGUUGGUGGGGUAGUGGCUUACCAAGGCUCUGACGGGUAGGCGGCAUGAGAGGGUGACCGGCCACAAGGGGACUGAGGGACGGCCCAGACUCCUACGGGAGGCAGCAGUGGGGAAUAUUGCACAAUGGGCGGAAGCCUGAUGCAGCAACGCCGCGUGCGGGAUGACGGCCUUCGGGUUGUAAACCGCUUUCGCCUGUGACGAAGCGUGAGUGACGGUAAUGGGUAAAGAAGCACCGGCUAACUACGUG